CCGAGCUUAUCUGUGUACGGACAGGAGCAGCAGCGGCCAUGCAGAGAGCAGUGAGAGCCGGUUUCCAGAAGGGAUCAUUCAAGAUGGUGGCGGCAAGCUCAAUGCCAUAGGACCACCCUGUGCAUGACCCCCACACCCCCUGGCUCCUCCCCAAGCACCUAUUGAAGGGAACCACGCUGCCCCAGCCCUUCCUCUUUCAUGCCGUUUAGCAUAAUUAAUUUGAUCAGCCUACAGUAAGGCUCAUCGCUUCAGUGUCUUCUGCCUCUGUGAAUCGGGUCGUUGUGCUAACUGCUUUAGCAAGGAAGGGCCUUCACGCCGCACUGGCUGCAUACUGUUUCUUUCACGUGGACGUGAGGACCCCCGUGAGGGCCCCUAAGGGGUCUUCAGGCCCCUGACGGAGACCCAGACUGCCACCAGUCAUCUGCUUGUGUCUACCCGCUACACGUCCUCUCACUUCUCCAGUCUGCGGGAGCACUGCCCUUUCACGAAGCUCUGAACAUUAGUGACCAGUCUGGGGCGGUUUGCAUCAAAGCCAACGUAAUUUGCAUAAUCGCCGGAUUACUCCUCGCCGCCAGUGAAGGUCAUCGUCUCCCAUGAACCUUCUCCAGAAGAUCAGCAUCAUCCCGCAGCAGGCCUCCCGCCCUCACCUGACACCCGGGGUGGGGCCGCAGGCCUUCCUCCCACGGAUCCAUUCCUCCCUUCAUCCCGUCAUGACUCAAUCAUCACAUGAUCAGGGGGAGAGACGCUCGAGCCGAAUCAGCGCUCAUUGCACCCGACGGGUUUUCACAGGCCGGCGAUGCCAGUUAGCCUGCGUCUGCCCCUGAGAGCGUUCCGCCAUUUCUGAGGGCGCUGUGGUCUUUGCGUUUAGCUGGGCUUUCCGUUAGCAGACUUUGGCUGCUCCGAGGUUUUGGCUCAGACGUAAAGUAGGCCAGGGAAAACAUGUGAUGCUCAAAUCUGCAGCGGACAAUGCCCAACACUAACAAUAUCAUCACAUUGGGAUAAAACAACAGCAAUUAUAAUAAUGUAAUUAAAAUAUGACACAUUUAUUAUAAAAUAACAUAUUCUAUUUUGUAUUAUAGUGUAUAGCUACUAAUUUGCAACAAAAGGCUCGUUUUUCGUCUAUGAUUGGCUGUUGCUGCCAGUAUUAGUGAACAGCAGAAAGCAAAGAGCUCAGCCUACACAGUAAAAUGUUCAGUGUUAAAUCAACUCUUACAGAGUACAUACGGUCCCUACUGGACUCAUAUGCACUCUGUUAAAGUUAAAUUAAUACUGGGCAUUUCACUGUGCAUUACAGCUCUGGUUUCUGAGCACUAAAAUGCCCUGUUUUAGUUCGCACCUGAGUUCCUGUGAAUUUCCUGUGUUUCAGGUCUCAUGCCUGCUAAUUAUUGUCGUAAUUGAAUAAUUGGUUUUUCACAUUCCGCACGUCUUCUCGGUUUCAGUGAUUGUCUGUGUGUGUAUUUAGUUCCUGGUUUUCUUCAGCACAGUGCUAGGUCUUUUUGGUUUCCUGUAUGUUCUCCUGGUUGCUAGUCCCCCAUGUUGAGUUUUUUAUGGUACUCUACCUCCUUUUGUCUUUUUGCUGUUGUUGCUGUUAAAGAGUUCGGACUUGUUUUACUUACCUCUGCCUCCCUGUGUGAUCUCUGCACUUGGGUCCUAAUCCUUUCUGUGAGCCUGUGACACUGUGUUUGGAGUUAAGGCUGUCUGUCUGUGCAGAGCAGAAUUUACCCUGGCUCUGUGCCUGUGUGUGUGGCAUCGGCUAAUCAGAAACUGUAAACCUGCAGUAUCACUUCCACGGGGUCUGAAUAUUUAUCAGUGCCACAAAUGACUUGUUUUUGCACACCGCCCUGUUGUGUGUGCACACCAUCCUGGCCCCUCCCCUCAUGCGUGUCCCCAUUUUUAUUGCAAAUCAAAGUGUGAUAAACAGGAAUGCGGAACAGCGGCAAACCCACCGAAGAAAACCGUCUUCCGUGCCACUGCUGGCAUGGCAGUGCGCUUAAAUGACUGUGAUCUGAGAGAAUGCGGAUGGGGAGAGUGGCCAAAACUAGCUGCCAUUGGGCCUAAGGGGUGAACAGGCCUGCCAACAUCAAAUGUUCCUCUCAUAAGGUUCUUCCUCUUUGGUUAAUUUCAUGCGCUGACUGCCGACUUUCAAUUGGAGUCUGUGAAUGUGUAAGAUAUCAUUUACCUCCUUAUUUUUUUCACCAUGCUGGGAACCACAUUCAUAUUAACUGAGGAGCAGAACUUAAAGCUAUAGUGUAGGUAGUGUUAGAAAUUUCUGAUUGUAUCAUGCUACUUACAGUAAAAUGUUCAGUGUUAAAUGAACUCUCUCAGAGUGCAUUUUUGCAUUCAAUUUGACUCAUAUGAACUCUGUUAUUGUUGA